CUCAGAGGGAUGGACGGGGUGUCAGAGUUGGAAUCAGAAUCUGGUCUGAUGCGAUGCGCAGCGCGUCUUCCAUGAAGGAAUGAGAACAGCAGGUUACAGAGGUCCCAGGCCCCUGAGGGGGAGCGAGGCAGCCAAUCUCACACUCUGGUUUGUUCCUCCAACGGUGACACGGCUUUUGAGCUGUGAACACCGAGGCUGGAGACUGACACCCAACGUGGAUUCAGCGUGGGAGCGAGACACAGUAUUUAUCUGUUUAUGUAUCUGUGAUAAAGUCUCUGGGGCUGGAGCGACGGCUCAGCGGUUAGAGCACUGACUGCUCUUCCUAAGCACCCGAGUUCAAUUCCCAGAAGCCACAUGGUGGCUCACAACCAUCUGUAAUGAGAUCUGAUGCCCUCUUCUGGUGUGUCUGAAGAAAGCCACAGUACUCCCACACAGAAAAUAAAUAAAUCUUUUCUUUUUAAGUCUUUUAGAGCCCAGGCUAGCCUUUUGUCUCUACUUCACUAUGCCUGACUAAUAAGUGAUUUGAUUUAAAAGUACAUCCAUGUAUUUAUUAUCCCUGUGUGUGCCACAGUACACACGUGGAGGCCGGAGGACCUGUGUGGGAGUCAGCUCUGUUUCCUCACCAUUUGGGUCUUGCAGCUCUGACUCAGGUCGUCAGGCUUGGGAGCAAGCAAGCAUCUUUACCCACCAGACCGUCUCAUCAGCCCCAUUCAUAAUU
rnacentral:lncRNA from 1 species